CUAGACCUCUCUUCCAACAAAUUAAAUGGUGAGCUUCCAUUCUCCAUGUGCAACAUGACAUCCCUUCAAAUUCUUAUUUUCUCAAAUAACAGUUUGGAAAUCUUUGGACAUAUUUCAUCUAAAUGCAAAUCACUUUAGUGGCCCCAUUCCAUCAAUAUUUAUGAGAGGGUGUAUUUUUUAGUCUAACAAUUUGAGUGUUAAUAAAUUGCAAGGAAAUUUGCCUAUACGUGUGUUCAUAUAAGAUAUGCGAUUUGUCUAAUUCCUUUGUCACUCCAUCUGCAAUAUGAAAUAGAUUUAUAUAAANAAAAGUUGCGAAAAAGGAAAACAUACUCUAAUAUUUUGAAAAAUAAUUGGAGCAGUGUAAUCUCUUUUUCACAUGAAUAAUAGGUGACUUAAUUAGAACUCUAGACGGGGUAUGACUUGUGAGACUCGAAGGAUAAUGGGGCCACUAGAAAUUGGAAAUCUAUCUUCACUUGUUUAUCUUGAUAUGAGUAGAAACUCUUUUCAUGGUACUACUUCCUCUAUCUAUUUUUAAUUUGUUGUUAAUAGAAUAUAUUUAUUUAUAUGGUAAUCCUAUCAGCUCGUGUGAUAUCCCGACUUUUCUAUAAGAAAUAUAGAAGAUCUUUACUUAGUUUAUUAUUGAUACACGUCCAUUUUUAAUAAAUUAUAUUAUUCCAAAGAAAUUUUACAACUUUGACGUUCAUGAUUUUUUUUUAGAAAUUAGUUGAUAAUGUCAUUCAAUUUCAUGCUUUCACUACCUUGUUAUGCCAUUUUUUUUAAUUAUACUUUAUUAACUUGAUUGGAAUAAUAAUUUAGUUUUUGAAAUAAUUCAAAAAUAUGGAAAAGAAUUUAGGGUUGUCUAAAUUUUUUAUAAAAACUAUUUUUGAUUGACUGAUAGUUUUAUCUAAGAAUCAAUAGAAUACAUGUUUUUAUUAAAGAAGACCUUUUCAUAAAAAAUUUAAGAAAGUGGACAUUUUUAUCUAUUAACACUUACUUUUAUCCAUCUAAACUAAUCCUCAAAAAUAAGUUUUUAUAAUAUUUUUGAUGAAUUAAUAGUUAUUUGAGUAGAAGUCAAAAUUUAUAUAUGGCUCAAUGAUUUGACUUCCACGCGGCAUUGUCACAUAAGUCAAAUAAUGACUUGCAAAUUGAGUUGUCUUGUAAAUUAAUACUUUAUCCGUUCCAUAAAAGUGUGCAUCAUUUUUGUAGCACGAGUUUUAAUAAAAUGUUAAAUAAGUGUAUUGGGAGUUGAAAAAGUGAUUGACUUUAUUAAAANAUAAGAGUAAGAAAUAAAAAAUAAUAAAGUUUCAGUGUAUGUUUUCAAGUACAAAACAAAAUGUCUUUCUUACUAUGCUCCAUCUUUAAAGCGAUUGAAACGAAGGGUUCUUCAAUGUUUAGGUCUAAUACCAUCCACAUUGGGAAUCUAUCCAAUUUGCGGUUGCUACUGCUCUCUUCCAACAAAUUAAAUGGUGAGCUUCCAUUCUCCAUGUGCAACAUGACAUNCAUUCUCCAUGUGCAACAUGACAUCCCUUCAAAUUCUUAUUUUCUCAAAUAACAGUUUGGAAAUCUUUGGACAUAUUUCAUCUAAACGCAAAUCACUUUAGUGGCCCCAUUCCAUCAAUAUUUAUGAGAGGGUGUAUUUUUUGAGUCUAACAAUUUGAGUGUUAAUAAAUUGCAAGGAAAUUUGCCUAUACGUGUGUUCAUAUAAGAUAUGCUAUUUGUC
rnacentral:lncRNA from 1 species